rnacentral:rRNA from 1 species
AGUGGGGAAUUUUGGACAAUGGGCGAAAGCCUGAUCCAGCCAUGCCGCGUGCGGGAAGAAGGCCUUCGGGUUGUAAACCGCUUUAGUCCGGGAAAAAGGGGUGCGAGGAUAAUACCCUCGUGCUUUGAUGGUACUGGAAGAAUAAGCACCGGCUAACUACGUGCCAGCAGCCGCGGUAAUACGUAGGGUGCGAGCGUUAAUCGGAAUUACUGGGCGUAAAGCGUGCGCAGGCGGUCUUGUAAGACAGUCGUGAAAGCCCCGGGCUUAACCUGGGAACUGCGAUUGUGACUGCAAGGCUAGAGUGUGUCAGAGGGGGGUGGAAUUCCACGUGUAGCAGUGAAAUGCGUAGAGAUGUGGAGGAACACCGAUGGCGAAGGCAGCCCCCUGGGAUAACACUGACGCUCAUGCACGAAAGCGUGGGGAGCAAACAGGAUUAGAUACCCUGGUAGUCCACGCCCUAAACGAUGUCAACUGGUUGUUGGAAGGGUAACCUUUUAGUAACGAAGCUGACGCGUGAAGUUGACCGCCUGGGGAGUACGGUCGCAAGAUUAAAACUCAAAGGAAUUGACGGGGACCCGCACAAGCGGUGGAUGAUGUGGUUUAAUUCGAUGCAACGCGAAAAACCUUACCUACACUUGACAUGCCAGAAAUCCUGCAGAGAUGUGGGAGUGCCGCAAGGAAUCUGGGCACAGGUGCUGCAUGGCUGUCGUCAGCUCGUGUCGUGAGAUGUUGGGUUAAGUCCCGCAACGAGCGCAACCCUUGUCACUAGUUGCUACAUUUAGUUGGGCACUCUAGUGAGACUGCCGGUGACAAACCGGAGGAAGGUGGGGAUGACGUCAAGUCCUCAUGGCCCUUAUGUGUAGGGCUACACACGUCAUACAAUGGUCGGUACAGAGGGUUGCCAACCCGCGAGGGGGAGCUAAUCUCACAAAGCCGAUCGUAGUCCGGAUCGCAGUCUGCAACUCGACUGCGUGAAGUCGGAAUCGCUAGUAAUCGUGGAUCAGCAUGUCACGGUGAAUACGUUCCCGGGUCUUGUACACACCGCCCGUCACACCAUGGGAGUGGAAUCCGCCAGAAGUAGUUAGCCUAACCGCAAGGAGGGCGAUUACCACGGUAGGUUUCAUGACUGGGGUG